ACUCGACUCUGGGACUAUGAGGCAGUUCAUCCACACGCUCCAAACUCCAGCUUAUUGUAGGAGACCAGUGCCUCGAUCUCAUGAGGUCAUCUCGACGCCUCAGCUGUAACCCUUGGAGAACCUGUGGUCUCUGCUCCUCUGCCUGCUGACAUGAUCAUCCCAGGUGCAAAACAGGUAUGAGCCACUGGCAUUCCUGCGCGCCAGUCUUCCAUCCUCUUUUCCUCGAGGGACCCACCGGCCAACCAGAUGUGCUGUUGUCCUGAGAACUGGCUCCACAUUUUGUGAGAUGUUUAAAGUCCAGGGAGGUCACUUAUAAGGAGGCACCUCUGUUCUCCAGGUGCACACACAAAGCCUCCCGUUAUCCGGUCUUGCACGUGCGUCCUUAGGGGCCAGCACCCUGGCUGCCUUCCAGAGUCUGCCCGGCUUUUCCAUCCCAUCUCUGCUCCCGAAGGCAUCCCGCUGCGGUCCUGGGCAUCUUGCACAGAAGCCCCUGCAAAUACCUACUUACAUAAGCCACGUACACGUUCUGUGCUAUUCCACGGUGGCUCUUGGUGCAAUUUGUUUUUAUUUCCUGCAAGCAGACUUUUCUUAUUACUUAACCUUUUUGGCCCCACAUUUCUUUAAUCUGCAAAAUGUGGCAAUGGAACCCGAUCAGAGAUCUUCA
ensembl:lncRNA novel transcript